rnacentral:rRNA from 1 species
GAUAAACGCUGGCGGCGCACAUAAGACAUGCAAGUCGAACGAACUUAAUUAAUUUGUUUACAAAUUGAAGCGGUUAGUGGCGGACUGGUGAGUAACACGUAAGCAACCUGCCUGUUAGAGGGGAAUAACAAUGAGAAAUUAUUGCUAAUACCGCAUAUGCCAUAGAUAUCACAUGAUAUUAGUGGGAAAGGAGCAAUCCGCUAACAGAUGGGCUUGCGUCUGAUUAGAUAGUUGGUGGGGUAACGGCCUACCAAGUCAACGAUCAGUAGCCGGACUGAGAGGUUGAACGGCCACAUUGGGACUGAGAUACGGCCCAGACUCCUACGGGAGGCAGCAGUCGGGAAUAUUGCGCAAUGGAGGAAACUCUGACGCAGUGACGCCGCGUAUAGGAAGAAGGUUUUCGGAUUGUAAACUAUUGUCGUUAGGGAAGAAAAAAGACAGUACCUAAGGAGGAAGCUCCGGCUAACUACGUGCCAGCAGCCGCGGUAAUACGUAGGGAGCAAGCGUUAUCCGGAAUUAUUGGGUGUAAAGGGUGCGUAGACGGGAGUCUAAGUUAGUUGUGAAAUCCCUCGGCUCAACUGAGGAACUGCAACUAAAACUGGACAUCUUGAGUGCAGGAGAGGAAAGUGGAAUUCCUAGUGUAGCGGUGAAAUGCGUAGAUAUUAGGAGGAACACCAGUGGCGAAGGCGACUUUCUGGACUGUAACUGACGUUGAGGCACGAAAGUGUGGGGAGCAAACAGGAUUAGAUACCCUGGUAGUCCACACUGUAAACGAUGGAUACUAGGUGUAGGAGAUAUUAAGUUUUCUGUGCCGUCGCAAACGCAAUAAGUAUCCCACCUGGGGAGUACGACCGCAAGGUUGAAACUCAAAGGAAUUGACGGGGGCCCGCACAAGCAGUGGAGUAUGUGGUUUAAUUCGAAGCAACGCGAAGAACCUUACCAGGGCUUGACAUAUAGAGUAAUAUCUAAGAGAUUAGAUAGUCCUUCGGGAACUCUAUACAGGUGGUGCAUGGUUGUCGUCAGCUCGUGUCGUGAGAUGUUGGGUUAAGUCCCGCAACGAGCGCAACCCCUGUUUCUAGUUGCCAGCACGUAAAGGUGGGAACUCUAGAGAGACUGCCGGUGAUAAAUCGGAGGAAGGUGGGGACGACGUCAAAUCAUCAUGCCCUUUAUGUCCUGGGCUACACACGUACUACAAUGGCUAUAACAAAGGGAAGCGAAACCGCGAGGUGAAGCGAAACUCAAAAAAGUAGUCUCAGUUCGGAUUGAAGGCUGAAAUUCGCCUUCAUGAAGCCGGAAUUGCUAGUAAUGGCAGGUCAGCAUACUGCCGUGAAUACGUUCCCGGGCCUUGUACACACCGCCCGUCACACCAUGAGAGUUGGGGAUACCCGAAGCCUGUGAGCCAACAUUUAUGAGGCAGCAGUCGAAGGUAGAAUCAAUGAUUGGGGUGAAGUCGUAACAAGGUAGCCGUAUCGGAAGGUGCGGCUGGAUCACCUCCUUUCUAAGGAGAUAUGUCUUUAUCAUUUGGAUUUAUUGUUUAUUUUUCAAUGUGCUUAUACUUAAUAAGUACAUUGUUUGUUAAUUAUAAUGCCUUAUUACAAGUUCGAAAUGAUGGUAGUAAGAAGUAGAUUGAAUUGAAAAGUUAUAAUUAGCAUAAAAACCUGGGGCUGUAGCUCAGUUGGCUAGAGCGCCUGCCUUGCAAGCAGGAGGUCAGGAGUUCGACUCUCCUCAGCUCCACCAUUUAAUAUACUUAAAUGGAAAUAGCACAUUGAAAAAUAUAUAGAUAUAUGAUGAAAAAAAGGUAAACUAGAAAAGAACUAGAAACAAAACCGAAACAAUAAUAACACUUUUUCAAUAUAGAAAUAUAAAGAAAAAGAAGGUUAAGCUACUAAGAGCGUAGGGUGAAUGCCUAGGCACCAAGAGCCGAAGAAGGACGUGAUAAGCUGCGAAAAGCCACGGGGAGGAGCAAAUAUCCAUCAAUCCGUGGAUGUCCGAAUGAGGGAACUCAUCUAGUAAAAAGAAACUAGAUAUCCAUACAUGAGUAAAGUAGUGUAUAGGAAGGGAACGUGGGGAACUGAAACAUCUAAGUACCCACAGGAAAAGAAAGAAAACUCGAUUCCUAGAGUAGUGGCGAGCGAAAUAGGAGAAGCCUAAAUCAAGGAUAGCAAUAUCCUUGAGGUUAUGGACUACAUAAUCGAUUCAACAAGUCUAAUAGAAUUGUCUGGAAAGUCAAACCAUAGACAGUGAAAGUCUGGUAUAUGAAAGAUAAGUUGACGAGGUAGUAUCCGGAGUAGUACGAGGCACGUGAAAUCUCGUAUGAACAUGUGGGGACCACCCCAUAAGGCUAAAUACUACUUGGUGACCGAUAGUGAAGC